rnacentral:rRNA from 1 species
UACGGAGGGUGCGAGCGUUGUCCGGAAUCAUUGGGCGUAAAGGGCGCGUAGGUGGCCCGGUCAGUUCGUGGUGAAAGCGCGGGGCUCAACCCUGCGUCGGCCAUGAAUACUGCCGCGGCUGGAGCACUGUAGAGGCAGGCGGAAUUCCGGGUGUAGCGGUGGAAUGCGUAGAGAUCCGGAAGAACACCGGUGGCGAAGGCGGCUCACUGGACUGGUAUUGACGCUGAGGUGCGAAAGCGUGGGGAGCAAACAGGG